rnacentral:tRNA from 1 species
AAAAUUUUAGUUUAUAUAAAAUAAUUUUUUUACAAAAAAUUGAAAUUUAAUUAAUAAAUUUUA